CAAGGUGAAACCUAAUUGGCCUGAAGAAGAGCUUGCGUCUGAUUAGCUAGUUGGUGGGGUAAAGGCCUACCAAGGCGACGAUCAGUAGCUGGUCUGAGAGGAUGAGCAGCUACACUGGGACUGAGACACGGCCCAGACUCCUACGGGAGGCAGCAGUGGGGAAUUUUCCGCAAUGGGCGAAAGCCUGACGGAGCAACGCCGCGUGAGGGAGGAAGGUCUUUGGAUUGUAAACCUCUUUUCUCAAGGAAGAAGUUCUGACGGUACUUGAGGAAUCAGCCUCGGCUAACUCCGUGCCAGCAGCCGCGGUAAUACGGGGGAGGCAAGCGUUAUCCGGAAUUAUUGGGCGUAAAGCGUCCGCAGGUGGUCAGCCAAGUCUGCC
rnacentral:rRNA from 1 species